AGCUGGAGGCCUUACCUUUAUCCAAGUUUCCUCUUCACAAGCAAGUUUCUGGCUUCUUAGAACACCUGAUGAACACAAGGAGGUUUGGGCAAAGACAUCUUCAUUUCAAGAAUGAAUGUCUGGAAACAUACAAGUAUCAGUCAUAACUAAUGGAAGAAAUGUCUGGAAACAUACAAGUAUCAGUCAUAACUAAUGGAAGGAAU